CACGUAGGAGGCAAACGUUAUCCGGAUUUACUGGGCGUAAAGCGCGUGUAGGUGGUUCUGUAAGUAGGGCGUGAAAGCUCCCGGCUCAACUGGGAGAGGCCGUUCUAAACUGCAGAGCUAGAGGAUGGUAGAGGGAGGUGGAAUUCCAGGUGUAGCGGUGGAAUGCGCAGAUAUCCGGAGGAACACCAGUGGCGAAGGCGACCUCCUGGGCCACUCCUGACACUCAGACGCGAAAGCUAGGGUAGCAAACGGGAUUAGAUACCCGGGUAGUCCCUGAG
rnacentral:rRNA from 1 species